rnacentral:rRNA from 1 species
UCGGGAAUUUUGGGCAAUGGGCGAAAGCCUGACCCAGCAACGCCGCGUGAGGGAUGAAGUAUUUCGGUAUGUAAACCUCGAAAGAAUGGGAAGAAUAAAUGACGGUACCAUUUAUAAGCUCCGGCUAACUACGUGCCAGCAGCCGCGGUAAUACGUAGGGAGCAAGCGUUGUUCGGAUUUACUGGGCGUAAAGGGCGCGUAGGCGGCGCGGUAAGUCACUUGUGAAAUCUCUGAGCUUAACUCAGAACGGCCAAGUGAUACUGCUUUGCUAGAGUGCGGAAGAGGCAACCGGAAUUCUUGGUGUAGCGGUAAAAUGCGUAGAUAUCAAGAGGAACACCUGAGGUGAAGACGGGUUGCUGGGCCGACACUGACGCUGAGGCGCGAAAGCCUGGGGAGCAAA